CGAACUGUAGUCAUUUUCGCGACCGGAGCAAAUGUUUCGUCAUAGUCAAUCCCAUAUUCCUGGCGAUUUCCUAGCGCUACCAGAUGAGCUUUACAACGUUCAAAAGAACCAUCUGCUUUCAAUUUGACAGUAAAAACCCAUUUGGAACCAAUGGGAGUGAUUUCUGGUGGACACGGUUUAAGUUGCCAAGUCUGAUUCUCUGCCAGAGCAUCCAAUUCAUCUUGAAUAGCUUUCUUCCAACAAUCAGAUUUAAUUGCUUCUGAAUAUGACUUUGGUAUGGCAAUAGAAGACAAAGUAGCAACCAUGGAUGUAUGAGAUUCAUUUUUUCUUUCUGGAGAGAAACCGUACCUGUCUGGGGCUCUGAUGGUUUGAGCAGAUCUUCUAAGUGGUGGAGGUGCAAUGUCGAGCUCAGGUGGCAGAGGGGACCCAGGCGAAGCUUCAAGUGCCAUUACUGUUGAUGGAGUAUCAGAUUGUUGUUGAAUUUGUCUAUGAACAGGUCUUCUAGUAAACACAAUCCCAGGAUGAAAUCGGGUUAUUGGAAGAGAAGAGUUGGAAGGUGAGUCAUUGACGUUGUCUUCAAAAGAUGGAAGCAGUGUAUAAGAAGAGGUAUUGGAUGAGCCUUCAAAGGAAGAGUAAAAUUUUUUGGUAUCGAAAAAAA